rnacentral:rRNA from 1 species
GGAUCAUUACAAAACAGAGUAUUCGUACUCUUCAACCCUUUGUGAACUAUACCAAUCGUCAGUUGCUUCGGCGGGGGGCCCCUGGGAGGGGCACCGGGGCCCGGGCCUGAGCCCGGGGUCCCGCCGGAGGAGCGCAACCUAAACUCUUGCUGUAUCAGUGGUAAUUCCGAGUCAAAACAAAAAACAAGUUAAAACUUUCAACAACGGAUCUCUUGGUUCUGGCAUCGAUGAAGAACGCAGCGAAAUGCGAUAAGUAAUGUGAAUUGCAGAAUUCAGUGAAUCAUCGAAUCUUUGAACGCACAUUGCGCCCGCCAGUAUUCUGGCGGGCAUGCCUGUUCGAGCGUCAUUGGAACACUCAGGCCUUAGGGUCUGGCUUCGGGGCGGUUCCCGCGAGGGAAGCCCUCAGAUACAUAGGCGGACCUCUUGGGCUCCGAGCGCAGUAGUAAAAUUCUCGCUCCGGAGCUUACUGUAGGGAGUGGCCGGCCCGCUUCUGACCUGGAAGCGGUGACCCUGGGGUGCAAGCAUACUCGGAUUUGCACGUUUAUUUGACCUCGGAUCAGGUAGGAAUACCCGCUGAACUUAAGCAUAUCAAUAAGCGGAGGAAAAGAAACCAACAGGGAUUGCCCCAGUAACGGCGAGUGAAGCGGCAACAGCUCAGAUUUGAAAUCUGGCCCCCAGGGCCCGAGUUGUAAUCUGUAGAGGAUGCUUCUGGCA